rnacentral:rRNA from 1 species
AGCAGUACCGCGGUAAUACAGAGGGUGCGAGCGUUAAUCGGAUUUACUGGGCGUAAAGCGUGCGUAGGCGGCUUUUUAAGUCGGAUGUGAAAUCCCUGAGCUUAACUUAGGAAUUGCAUUCGAUACUGGGAAGCUAGAGUAUGGGAGAGGAUGGUAGAAUUCCAGGUGUAGCGGUGAAAUGCGUAGAGAUCUGGAGGAAUACCGAUGGCGAAGGCAGCCAUCUGGCCUAAUACUGACGCUGAGGUACGAAAGCAUGGGGAGCAAACAGGAUUAGAUACCCCUGUAGUCCCUGUCUCUUAUACA